UAAAAUGCACAUAAAGAGGCGUGCCCGCGGUAAUGGACUCGUCCCUAGCAGAGCCGUUUAAGACGGCUGGCAUUGAAUAACAAUCAGAAA
rnacentral:sRNA from 1 species